UAAUAUAAACCCUACUUCAGAAGAGGAAUUACAAAAAUUUUGUAACAACUAUUUCAGAGUAUAUCAAUUUUCUGUAAGAGCUUUUUUUUUAUUUUAACAUAAUACUAUUUUUUUUUUUUAACAUGUCACUAUUUUUUUUUUAAUAUUUAUUUAUUUUUUUAUUUUUUUUAUAAUAAAUAUUUUGUAUAUCUUUAUUUGUUUAUUUUGAUCUAUAACUAAAAACAAAAUACAUAAGUUAGGUAUAUGACACAUUAUAUUAAUUCUAAUUUCAAUUAUAAUCUUAAUCUUAAUCUUAUUUUAUUUUUUUUUUUUUUUUUUUUUCCUGCAUUAUUUUUGCAGUUUUAUAACUUUAUUAGAAGACUCAUGUCGGUCGAUGCUAUUGCUGUGUAUACCGUAUUUAUCUCUGUGUAUAUAUUUUCAGGAUUGCGAGUUGAAUCAACGUCAAAUUAUGUUUUCUUGGAUUCAAUGAUUUCUUUAGGUAUAAACAUAGUCAUUUUAAUUAUAAUCGAAUCGCUCUUUGAAAUUAAACAUUACCAAGAAGCAAAAAAUGCGAACUCACAAAAUUACACUCGGAUAGUUCCAGAAAAUUACGUUUUUGAAAAAGUUAUGACUAAAGAUAUUAAAGUAGGUAAUAUAAUUAGAAUUUAUCGAGAUGAAGAGUUCCCAGCCGAUGCAGUAAUACUUCAUUCAGAAAAUAAUUCAAGUGUGAUUGUCAAUUCGUUUGGACUGGAUGGUGUUUGUAAAGAUAGUAUAAAACAUCCUGUGCAAAAGUAUAAAAGUAAAAAUAUAAUAUUAUACACAUAUAUACAUAUAUAUAUGUACAUAUAUAUAUAUAUAUAUAUNNNNNNNNNNUUUUAUGACUGUUGGAGAACAUAUGGUAGUACACACUAACAUAGGGACUGUCAGUAAUGUCAACAUUAGUACCAACGUCAAUAGCAGUUGUAAUAGUAACAACUGUAAGGUUAAUAAUAGAUACAGCUUAUAUAAUUGUGGAGAAGCAAAAGACAACCGAAUGUACCAACAGCACGAGAGUAAAGACCACUAUCCAUUAAGAUAUAACUGCUCACAAAAAAAAAUAAAUAAUGAAAAUAUACCUGUUGAAGAAGAUUG
rnacentral:lncRNA from 1 species